rnacentral:rRNA from 1 species
UACGGAGGGGGCGAGCGUUAUUCGGAAUUAUUGGGCGUAAAGGGCGCGUAGGCGGCCUGUUAAGUCGGACGUGAAAUCCCUCGGCUCAACCGGGGAACUGCGUCCGAUACUGGCGGGCUUGAAUUCGGGAGAGGGAUGUGGAAUUCCAGGUGUAGCGGUGAAAUGCGUAGAUAUCUGGAGGAACACCGGUGGCGAAGGCGGCAUCCUGGACCGACAUUGACGCUGAGGCGCGAAAGCCAGGGGAGCAAACGGG